rnacentral:rRNA from 1 species
AAUAAGAAAGUUACUAAGGGCGCAUGGCGGAUGCCUAGGCUCUCAGAGGCGAAGAAGGACGUGAUAAGCUGCGAAAAGCUUUGGGGAGGCGCACAUAGCUAUUGAUCCAAAGAUGUCCGAAUGGGGCAACCCAUCAUGCUGAAGGCAUGAUAUCCCGCAAGGGAGGCAAACCCGGAGAACUGAAACAUCUAAGUACCCGGAGGAGAAGAAAACAACAGUGAUUCCGCAAGUAGUGGCGAGCGAACGCGGAGAAGCCCAAACCCACAUAGUUACGGCUAGGUGGGGGUUAUAGGACCCUAACAGCUGCUUACAGACGGAACUGGAAUGAUCUGGGAAGGUCAACCAUAGGGGGUGAGAGUCCCGUACAGGUAAAAGAUGUAAGUGGUAGGGGUAUCCUGAGUAGGUCGGGGCCAGAGGAACCCUGAUUGAAUUUGCCGGUACCAUCCGGUAAGGCUAAAUACUCCUGAGAGACCGAUAGUGAACAAGUACCGUGAGGGAAAGGUGAAAAGUACCCUGAAUAAGGGGGUGAAAAGACCCUGAAACCAUGCGCUUACAAGCGGUCGGAGCUCCGAUUUAUCGGGGUGACGGCGUGCCUUUUGCAUAAUGAGCCUACGAGUUACACCUAUUUGGCAAGGUUAAUCCUGUAGACAGGAGCAGCCGCAGCGAAAGCGAGUCUGAACAGGGCGCCAUAGUCAGGUGGGGUAGACGCGAAACUUGGUGAUCUACCCAUGGCCAGGUUGAAGCUCCGGUAACACGGGGUGGAGGACCGAACCCGUUGACGUUGAAAAGUCUUGGGAUGAGCUGUGGGUAGGGGUGAAAGGCCAAUCAAACUGAGAAAUAGCUCGUACUCUCCGAAAUGUUUUUAGGAACAGCCUGGGAGGAUGUCUGCUAGAGGUAGAGCUACCAAUAGGACUAGGGGGAGUCACAUCCUACCAAAUCCUGAUGAACUCCGAAUGCUAGUAGAUUACUCCUGGAGUGAGGGCUAGGGUGCUAAGGUCCUGGUCCGAGAGGGAAAGAACCCAGACCGUCAGCUAAGGUCCCAAAAUAUAUGCUAAGUUGAACUAAGGAGGUCCAGUUGCAGAGACAGCCAGGAGGUUGGCUUGGAAGCAGCCAUUCCUUCAAAGAGUGCGUAACAGCUCACUGGUCGAGCGACAGGGCAUCGAUAAUAAUCGGGCAUAAAGCAUAUUACCGAAGCUACGGACCCGCAAGGGUGGUAGGAGAGCAUUCCAAUGGCGGCGAAGGCGUGUCGUGAGGCAUGUUGGAGCGAUUGGAAAAGAAAAUGUAGGCAUAAGUAACGAUAAGGCGGGUGCGAAACCCGCCCACCGCAAGACUAAGGUUUCCUGAUCAACGCUAAUCGGAUCAGGGUUAGUCGGGGCCUAAGGCGAACCCGAAGGGGGUAGUCGAUGGAUAACGGGUUAAUAUUCCCGUACUGGCUUUAUAGAGUGAUGUGGAGACGAAGAGGCGUAAGCUCUGCGAACUGACGGAAUAGUUCGUUGAAGACCGUAGGUAUAUUUAGAGUAGGCAAAUCCGCUUUGAAUGCUGAAAGUUGACAGUACUACAAUGCUUCGGCAGCGUAGAUAAUGAGCCCAAGCGUACUUCCGAGAAAAUCCGCUAAGCGUUUACUAUAAAGCGACCCGUACCGCAAACCGACACAGGUAGUCGAGGAGAGAAUCCUAAGGUGCUCGAGUGAUUCAUGGCUAAGGAACUAGGCAAAAUGACCCUGUAACUUCGGGAGAAAGGGUGCCUCCCAUGGAGUAGUGUUUACACUCACUUCAUGGAGGCCGCAGUGAAGAGGCCCAAGCGACUGUUUAGCAAAAACACAUGGCUUUGCGAAGUUGAAAGACAACGUAUAAGGCCUGACACCUGCCCGGUGCUGGAAGGUUAAGGGGGGGCGUUAUUGUCUUCGGAUGAGAAGCGCUGAACUGAAGCCCCAGUAAACGGCGGCCGUAACUAUAACGGUCCUAAGGUAGCGAAAUUCCUGUCGGUAAGUUCCGACCUGCACGAAUGGUGCAACGACUUGGGCGCUGUCUCAGCCAUGAGCUCGGUGAAAUUGUAGUAUCGGUGAAGAUGCCGAUUACCCGCAACGGGACGAAAAGACCCCGUGAACCUUUACUAUAGCUUUGCAUUGGCAAUGGGUAAGAGAUGUGUAGGAUAGGUGGGAGACGUUGAAAUGGCCUCGCUAGGGGUUGUGGAGUCGUUGGUGAAAUACCACCCUUCUUUUAUCUGUUGUCUAACCACUACGGUGGGACAUUGCAUGGUGGGUAGUUUGACUGGGGUGGUCGCCUCCUAAAAAGUAACGGAGGCUUUCAAAGGUACCCUCAGCAUGGAUGGUAAUCAUGCGCAGAGUGCAAUAGCAUAAGGGUGCUUGACUGAGAGACCUACAAGUCGAUCAGGUAGGAAACUAGGAUAUAGUGAUCCGGUGGUUCUGUAUGGAUGGGCCAUCGCUCAAAGGAUAAAAGGUACUCCGGGGAUAACAGGCUGAUCUCCCCAAGAGCUCACAUCGACGGGGAGGUUUGGCACCUCGAUGUCGGCUCGUCACAUCCUGGGGCUGGAGAAGGUCCCAAGGGUUGGGCUGUUCGCCCAUUAAAGUGGCACGCGAGCUGGGUUCAGAACGUCGUGAGACAGUUCGGUCUCUAUCUGUUGUGGGCGUUAGAAGCUUGAGAGGAUCUGACCUUAGUACGAGAGGACCGGGUUGGACAAACCGCUGGUGUAUCUGUUGUGCCGCCAGGUGCAGUGCAGAGUAGCUACGUUUGGAAGAGAUAAGCGCUGAAAGCAUCUAAGCGCGAAACUCCCCUCAAGAUGAGGCUUCUUUAUAAGGGUCGUUGUAGAUGACGACGUUGAUAGGCUGCAGGUGUAAAGUCAGAGAUGACAAAGCCGAGCAGUACUAAUUACCCGUAGACUUUCA